rnacentral:rRNA from 1 species
UGCAAGUCGAGCGAACAGAUNAGGAGCUUGCUCCUUUGACGUUAGCGGCGGACGGGUGAGUAACACGUGGGUAACCUACCUAUAAGACUGGGAUAACUUCGGGAAACCGGAGCUAAUACCGGAUAAUAUUUCGAACCGCAUGGUUCGAUAGUGAAAGAUGGUUUUGCUAUCACUUAUAGAUGGANCCGCGCCGUAUUAGCUAGUUGGUAAGGUAACGGCUUACCAAGGCAACGAUACGUAGCCGACCUGAGAGGGUGAUCGGCCACACUGGAACUGAGACACGGUCCAGACUCCUACGGGAGGCAGCAGUAGGGAAUCUUCCGCAAUGGGCGAAAGCCUGACGGAGCAACGCCGCGUGAGUGAUGAAGGUCUUCGGAUCGUAAAACUCUGUUAUUAGGGAAGAACAUACGUGUAAGUAACUAUGCACGUCUUGACGGUACCUAAUCAGAAAGCCACGGCUAACUACGUGCCAGCAGCCGCGGUAAUACGUAGGUGGCAAGCGUUAUCCGGAAUUAUUGGGCGUAAAGCGCGCGUAGGCGGUUUUUUAAGUCUGAUGUGAAAGCCCACGGCUCAACCGUGGAGGGUCAUUGGAAACUGGAAAACUUGAGUGCAGAAGAGGAAAGUGGAAUUCCAUGUGUAGCGGUGAAAUGCGCAGAGAUAUGGAGGAACACCAGUGGCGAAGGCGACUUUCUGGUCUGUAACUGACGCUGAUGUGCGAAAGCGUGGGGAUCAAACAGGAUUAGAUACCCUGGUAGUCCAC